rnacentral:misc_RNA from 1 species
AAGUCGUAACAAGGUUUCCGUAGGUGAACCUGCGGAAGGAUCAUUAACACCAAAAUUUUGUAUCCAAAAUCUUUUGGGUCACAAACCAACCCCUGUACGAACCGUUUUUUAGUACUGUCCCUCUCUCCUUUCACAGGGGAGUGGUUGCGUAUGUGUUUACUCACAUCCGCAGCCUAUUUUUUUUUCUCUAAAACGAUUCUGACUCUAACUGACUGAAAUCGUGGGCUUGAAGGUGUCAAAACCCUCAACCUACAAAAAUCACUAAACGUGAAACAACUCUUAACAACGGAUAUCUUGGCUCUC